rnacentral:tRNA from 1 species
GCAGUGGUAGUUCAGUGGUAGAAAUAUCACCUUCCAUGUGGGAGACACAGGUUCGAGUCCCGGCCAGUGCA